rnacentral:misc_RNA from 1 species
GGGAUACGAGCGGUAGGGACCCUAGCGAGCCAACCUCCCACCCGUGUUUACUGUACCUUAGUUGCUUCGGCGGGCCCGCCAUUCAUGGCCGCCGGGGGCUCUCAGCCCCGGGCCCGCGCCCGCCGGAGACACCACGAACUCUGUCUGAUCUAGUGAAGUCUGAGUUGAUUGUAUCGCAAUCAGUUAAAACUUUCAACAAUGGAUCUCUUGGUUCCGGCAUCGAUGAAGAACGCAGCGAAAUGCGAUAACUAGUGUGAAUUGCAGAAUUCCGUGAAUCAUCGAGUCUUUGAACGCACAUUGCGCCCCCUGGUAUUCCGGGGGGCAUGCCUGUCCGAGCGUCAUUGCUGCCCAUCAAGCACGGCUUGUGUGUUGGGUCGUCGUCCCCUCUCCGGGGGGGACGGGCCCCAAAGGCAGCGGCGGCACCGCGUCCGAUCCUCGAGCGUAUGGGGCUUUGUCACCCGCUCUGUAGGCCCGGCCGGCGCUUGCCGAACGCAAAUCAAUCUUUUCCAGGUUGACCUCGGAUCAGGUAGGGAUACCCGCUGAACUUAAGCAUAUCAAUAAGCCGGGAGGAAACGAAGGGUUUACCCCGG